rnacentral:tRNA from 2 species
GCGGGUAUAACUCAGUGGUAGAGUGUCAGCUUCCCAAGCUGAAGGUCGCGGGUUCAAAUCCCGUUGCCCGCU